rnacentral:rRNA from 1 species
UGAAACAUUGCUUAUCGUCCCAUCACCGAAGUUAAGCAACGUCGAGCAUGGUCAGUACCUAGAUGAGUGAUCGCUUGGGAAAACCAGGCGUUGUAC